rnacentral:misc_RNA from 1 species
AAUCUUUGUUGACAUCUUGCUUUCUUUUGAUUAAAUUCUCCGUAUAUUUUCUUCCCGAACUGUCUCAAGCAUCUUGCAAUUACCUUCAAAAAUUUUUUGGAUUCCCAUCUUGAAUGAUUGAAACAGAUGUUGUAAUUUUUUAAGUUGAUUCUCAAGAAUCUUGUAUGUUAUUUCAUCAUCCAUUAUGAAUCCAGAUUAGAGUGUUUGGUAACCAAGAGAUCAGAGAAAAUGGAAAAAGAUUGAGGUGAAAGAGGGAGAGAUUCAGAGAGA